ACGCCCUCUGACCUGACUGCACUCAGAAACCAAAAUUCUGCAGGUGAAUGUAGGCUCCCAUUUCGUCCCACAAUCAUUUCAUCAUUCAGGCACAGCUUGACCUCUAAUGUGACAUCACAAACCCUUCCGGUCCACAGUUUUUUUUUCUUCUUCAGAAACUACCUAAACAAGGAAGUUUGUGUUCCAAGGUAAGAUAACCUGAAAUGAAAAACUCAGGAUCCCUCACGAACAGCCUGACCCUGCUUUCAACCAGGAAGUUCAAGGGAGGCAGGACUUUACGGUCAAAACUGCAAAGCCGAAGCUCAAGACUGUAAGAAGAAAGUGAUCUUCAAAGAAAAGGAUUCACCCAAAUCGAAGAGGAUAUCGUUUCGCAUCAGGGACACUCGUCUCCACACCUCCUACCUCAAAGUCCUACGCACCUACCCUUCACGUCUCUCCAAAGCAACUGAAUUAAAGCGCCUACUGGCCUUGGCGGCGCAGGUCCCAAGAUUUUGACUGAUUGGUUGUACGACUAGAGUUGCUGGAGUUCAAGUAUUUUCAUUUUAACUAUUCAACUGAAAGCAGUGCGUUACAACAGAACACGGGUUCCAAAGAAUUUACUGAGAAGAAGCAAAGUAAUACUUGGGAGAACUAUAAUACACAGGCAUCUCAUGAAAAUCAUCCAACAUAUAGAAGAAUAUAUAGAAUAAAGCAAAAAUCAUCAGAAACUCCACCGUCUUGGAUGACCAUAGUUGAUAUUCUGAAUGGCUUCUGUUCCGAUUGAACCUUGACUGAUGUAGCACCUAUCACCAAAUUGCUGUUCAGGAAAUAUGUCCUAAAGAAACUCCCAACAGCAGCAAUACAUCAGAGUGGCACCUCUUUACACUGGUUCUUGAGAAGAUGUCAGAGUGAGAUUUGCAAUAGACUCCCAGCAGCCCCCAGGAGCACCAAGUGAGAUGCCUGCCAGGCCCACUGUGUCCACUGCCCUCUGGUAGCACCUGAGGAUCAUGGAAAUUAAAUCCUGGUAGAUAAAGGGGAAGACGUAAGGAAGACAAGACAAGGGACUGAGGAAAUGUUGGGGAAGAUGAGAACACCUCAGAAACCACAAUUGAAGAAUUCCUAGGACCCCCAGGAAAGGGGCACAUCCAGAAAGGAGAUAAGAUCAGAAGCCUUUAUUUCCACUAUUCAGCCACUCACUGCCUGAGACUUAACUUCAUUUCAAAACCGCAGCAAGAAAAAUUGGUCAUGCCCAGGCAAAUCUUCUAGGUGAGUUCUAAAGAUAAGUCAAG
rnacentral:lncRNA from 10 species